rnacentral:rRNA from 1 species
GUGGGGAAUUUUGGACAAUGGGGGAAACCCUGAUCCAGCAACGCUGCGUGGAGGACGAAGGUCUUCGGAUUGUAAACUCCUUUUGCAGGGGACGAAUGACACCGCAAGGUGUUUUGACGGUACUCUGCGAAUAAGCCACGGCUAACUACGUGCCAGCAGCCGCGGUAAGACGUAGGUGGCAAGCGUUACUCGGAAUUACUAGGCGUAAAGCGCGUGUAGGCGGGUGUCUAAGUCUAUUGUUAAAUCUUCGGGCCCAACCCGAAAAAGUCAAUAGAUACUGGAUGUCUUGAGUAAGGCAGAGGAAGCUGGAAUUCCCGGUGUAGCAGUGAAAUGCGUAGAUAUCGGGAGGAACACCAGUGGCGAAGGCGGGCUUCUGGGCCUUUACUGACGCUAAGACGCGAAAGCUAGGGGAGCAAACAGGAUUAGAAACCCGUGUAGUCC